rnacentral:sRNA from 1 species
GCGCCGCGAGGAGGAGGCCCUGCUGGUUUCUGUGCGGAAGACAAGACGGCAGCUGAGGAUGCCAUACGCAACCUGCACCAUUACAAGCUUCAUGGGGUGAACAUCAACGUGGAAGCCAGCAAGAAUAAGAGCAAAACCUCAACAAAGUUGCAUGUGGGCAACAUCAGUCCCACCUGCACCAAUAAGGAGCUUCGAGCCAAGUUUGAGGAGUAUGGUCCGGUCAUCGAAUGUGACAUCGUGAAAGAUUAUGCCUUCGUACACAUGGAACGGGCAGAGGAUGCAGUGGAGGCCAUCAGGGGCCUUGAUAACACAGAGUUUCAAGGUGGGAUGUGUGUGGGCUGAAAUUCCGAGCUGCGGUUGUGCAUGAGAAUACACCCUUCGUGGUACCCCAUCUCCGGGACGUUCUCGGCUCUGUGCGUUCAGUCCCUCAGGAACCGUGGACCUUAAUUUACCUUGCUAAGUUCAGACCUUCUCUUCCUUUCCUUUCCUCUCCUGCCCAUUUUCCUGUUUUUCUGUCCUUCAAUACUUCUGUAGCUUCCCAUUCAUGUUCUGUUCUCCCAGCAGGCCUCAUUGUGUGCAGAAACUGUGGUGGGGGCUGUGCUGUCUCCUCCCUGCCUCCUGCCUCCUGCGGCUGUUGGAUUUGGGAAUGACCUUGGUGAGAGUCUCACUGCUCCAGGGUCUCUUUUUGGUCCAAAGGCUAGACCUAUAGAGUUGGAUCACUUUUUUUCUUUCCGGUGAAAUAAAUGGUUUUUCAACUUA